CACCUCUCAGGGUUGCACUUGGAGAGUUUCCAGUAGUCUACCAGUCUCAACUAUGGGAGGAAAAGUCAAACAGAGGCAUAUCCAUUCCAUUCCUAGCCUGGACAGUGGCUAGAGAGUGAAAGACAAUCUGUUAAAAGU